GGUGAGAUGGCCGAGUGGUUAUGGCGCUGCGUUCAGGCGAACCCUGAAUAUACAUUUCCUGUAUACCAUCUAUCGAGAUGAAUGGAAAAUUGAACAGAAAAUAUCGCAGUGGAGCAAUCCGCGUGGGUUCGAGUCCCACUCUCAUCA